rnacentral:lncRNA from 1 species
AUAUAUAUGGGGUUUGUUAACACGCGUACGCCUGUUUUUCAGUUGGUACGUUUUAAUAAUGUGUACCGGAUUAUAGUAGACAAAAAUACCCUCAUUUAUCAUGGAUUCUAAGUUUUAAGGUCAAGGAUAUUUAAAUAACUUUCAUUCUCAAAACUAAAAAAAAAAAAAGAAACCCCCAAACCCUUACUCACCUCCCUCAUUCCUCUCAACCCUUUCUCUUUCAUCAUCUUUCACUCCAAUAUUUUC